rnacentral:tRNA from 1 species
UAUAAUUUAGUAUAAGAUGUACAUAGAUUUUUGAUGUUUAAAGUAAUAGUUUAAUUCUAUUAAUUAUAA